AUGACAAAACGUCAAGCUGUGGAGGCACUUGAUAGAUCCUUGCAAGAUAUUACUGGUGUUAUAUCUCCAUUUGGAGGAAAGGUCAUAGUGUUAGGAGGAGAUUUCAGACAAGUUCUCCCUGUAGUGAGGCGAGGCACAAGAGCACAAAUUACAGAUGCUACACUAAAGAAAUCGUAUCUUUGGCGGUGUAUAAAACAAAUAAAACUAUGGCGUAAUAUGAGAGCACAAUCUGAUCCAUGGUUCUCAGAUUUUCUGUUAAGAAUUGGUGAUGGUACAGAAGAAUCAAUCGGCCAAGAUUAUGUGCGCCUACCAGAUGAAAGUGUUGUACCAUACAUAGAUCCAAAACACUCUGUCAGUAAGUUAAUUAAUGUUAUCUUUCCUUCACUAGGCCAGAAUGGAAUAUCACCAUCUUAUAUUAGUACUCGCGCCAUUCUCUCCACCAAGAAUGAAUAUGUUGAUGAACUAAACGAGAAGCUUAUUGAUCGGUUUCCUGGGGAAGAACAAAUCUACUAUAGUUUUCAUUCAGCAGUGGAUGAUCCACAUAACUACUACCCACCUGAAUUUCUAAACUCACUCACACCUAAUGGCCUGCCUCCACAUGUCCUUCGACUGAAGAUUAAUUGUCCUGUGAUUUUACUUCAGAAUCUAGAUCGUUUUAACGGAUUGUGCAAUGGAACAAGACUUAUUAUCAGAGCAUUUCAAGAGAACGCUAUUGAUGCAGAAAUAAUUGGCGGGCAACAUGCUGGGAAAAGAGUAUUCCUUCCAUGA
rnacentral:rRNA from 1 species